ensembl:snoRNA Y55F3AM.23 ncRNA
CAGUGCCGAAUUUGUAUGCGUCGUUUCUCCCGAUCGGACCAUUUGACGACCCACGUGCGCACUCACACUGGCGAAAAACCAUACUCCUGCGACAUUUGCGGCAAAAAAUUUGCGCGAUGUGAUGAACGAACGCGGCACACAAA